AUUGAACGCUGGCGGCAGGCCUAACACAUGCAAGUCGAACGGUAACAGGAAACAGCUUGCUGUUUCGCUGACGAGUGGCGGACGGGUGAGUAAUGUCUGGGAAACUGCCUGAUGGAGGGGGAUAACUACUGGAAACGGUAGCUAAUACCGCAUAACGUCACAAGACCAAAGAGGGGGACCUUCGGGCCUCUUGCCAUCGGAUGUGCCCAGAUGGGAUUAGCUAGUAGGUGGGGUAACGGCUCACCUAGGCGACGAUCCCUAGCUGGUCUGAGAGGAUGACCAGCCACACUGGAACUGAGACACGGUCCAGACUCCUACGGGAGGCAGCAGUGGGGAAUAUUGCACAAUGGGCGCAAGCCUGAUGCAGCCAUGCCGCGUGUAUGAAGAAGGCCUUCGGGUUGUAAAGUACUUUCAGCGGGGAGGAAGGGAGUAAAGUUAAUACCUUUACUCAUUGACGUUACCCGCAGAAGAAGCACCGGCUAACUCCGUG
rnacentral:rRNA from 1 species